CCUCACCCCGGCAGGCUGCCCCCCACCCCCGAAAGCUCCAUACAAAGAGUUGAACCAAAAACCUCCUUCGUCUUUAAAGAGCACAAGGAAACCCAAGAGCCAAGGAAUAACACUGCUGCCAAUGGGGCCAGGUACCAUCUCACACCUGGGGCGUCCUUCGUCGGCCAAUCGCACCGCAGUGCCCAGGGUAGCUAGGCAACGGCCGGUCCAAUCGCAACGCGCCCUUCCAGGUUUGGAGGGGCGGGGCGGGGCCACAAGAGACAAGGUGGUGGUGGAGGAACCUAGCGCUGGUGUCCCAGAAGGAGAGAGGGCAAAGACAGGAGCCACCCGCUGGCAGGGGGCUGGGUGGAGAGUCCCAAGAGAGCGGGCAGCCGGGGGGCCACGGUCCUGGCUGGCACAGUCCGGAGCAUAACGGAGCCCCCGGGGCGGGAGCUGGUUGGAGCAACUGCUGAGAGCAACGGAGACCCCAGAGGUGGAGGUCCUGGCAGAGUCCGGAGAGCAACGGAGCUCCUGGGGCGGAGGAGACCCCCAGGGCGGAGGUCGUGGCUGGCGGAGUCCGGUGCCCCCGGGGCAGAGGAGGACCCCAGGGCGGAGGUCGUGGAUGGCGGAGUCCGGCGCCCCCGGGGCAGAGGAGGACCCCAGGGCGGAGGUCGUGGAUGGCGGAGUCCGGCGCCCCCGGGGCAGAGGAGGACCCCAGGGCGGAGGUCGUGGAUGGCGGAGUCCGGCGCCCCCGGGGCAGAGGAGGACCCCAGGGCGGAGGUCGUGGAUGGCGGAGUCCGGCGCCCCCGGGGCAGAGGAGGACCCCAGGGCGGAGGUCGUGGAUGGCGGAGUCCGGCGCCCCCGGGGCAGAGGAGGACCCCAGGGCGGAGGUCGUGGAUGGCGGAGUCCGGCGCCCCCGGGGCAGAGGAGGACCCCAGGGCGGAGGUCGUGGAUGGCGGAGUCCGGCGCCCCCGGGGCAGAGGAGGACCCCAGGGCGGAGGUCGUGGAUGGCGGAGUCCGGCGCCCCCGGGGCAGAGGAGGACCCCAGGGCGGAGGUCGUGGAUGGCGGAGUCCGGCGCCCCCGGGGCAGAGGAGGACCCCAGGGCGGAGGUCGUGGAUGGCGGAGUCCGGCGCCCCCGGGGCAGAGGAGGACCCCAGGGCGGAGGUCGUGGAUGGCGGAGUCCGGCGCCCCCGGGGCAGAGGAGGACCCCAGGGCGGAGGUCGUGGAUGGCGGAGUCCGGCGCCCCCGGGGCAGAGGAGGACCCCAGGGCGGAGGUCGUGGAUGGCGGAGUCCGGCGCCCCCGGGGCAGAGGAGGACCCCAGGGCGGAGGUCGUGGAUGGCGGAGUCCGGCGCCCCCGGGGCAGAGGAGGACCCCAGGGCGGAGGUCGUGGAUGGCGGAGUCCGGCGCCCCCGGGGAGCUGCAGCGUUGCAGGGAUGCCGGAGAAGCGAAGGUCUUCAGCACUUAUCCCAGGCGAGUUCUGUCCCCGGGGCCCAGAGCAAGUGCCCAGGGGCUGGGAGUCCUUGAAGCGCGCCCCAAGAGCCGCAGAGACCCCCGCAGGCUGGAGGAGCACCCCGGGUCCUGGCACGCUCUGGAGAGCAACGGCCCAGGGCAGGGAGAUCACGGGAGCAGCUGAGUUCUACCCGCAGGGCUGGAGUCUUUGGAGCAAGUCCGGGGCGAGGCAGGGCCCCAGGAAGGGAAGCUCAAGAGCUCGUUCUGCCCCCGGGGGCCGGAGGACCCUGCAGCAGGUCCCAAGAGCAGGGCACCAGGGUCCGGAGGUCCUUGGCGUAGGUCCCACGAGAACAGGAACCGCUGGCGGCAGACCCAUUGGUACAGGUCCUGCAGCUAGACCCCCAGGUGGUAAGAGAGGGGUCUGCAGCAAAUCCGUCGGCCUGGAGAGCCAGGGGCUGGAAGUGACCCCCAAGUCCUUGGACAGUCCCAUCAGCCUGGGGCCCCCGACAGCAAAGGUUCACGAGCAGCAGGCCUGGCGGCCCCAUGUGCCGACAGCACCCCGGCAGCGCUGCCUGCCCCACGAGGCCGGGAACUCGGGGGCUCGCGCUCCCCUCCCCCCGCCCGCUCUCUGUCUCUCUCUCCGUGUCUCUCUGGCGCGUGCGCCCGCUGGGCCGGAUGCUCUUUAAAAACGUGGAUCAGAACAGAGGAGUCCAGAGGAGAAGGUCAACGGGGGGAUGGGGUGGGGCGCGGGGGGGUCCCCGGCUGCGGGGGCGGGGGUGCCCCCGGCC